rnacentral:rRNA from 1 species
AUGAACAUCUUGGCCUGGAACUGUCGGGGACUGGGGUUGGACUCGACAGUAGGCGAACUUCGCGACCUGAUUAGGUCCUACAACCCGACGGUGGUCUUUUUAAGUGAAACUAAGAAGAAGGCGAGAGCGAUGGAGAAGAUCAAGUGGAGCAUGGGGUUUAGAUAUGGUGUCGCGGUGGAUUGUCAAGGACAAAGUGGUGGUCUCGCUAUGUGGUGGCGGGACCAUCUGCAGGUCACAGUUAGGCCGUGGUGUCAUUAUUUCAUUGAUGCUCGGGUGGUAUUCAAGGAGAAAACCUGUAGGAUCACUGGAUUCUACGAAGAACCUGAUGUGGAGCAAAGGAAGAAGUCCUGGGAUGCACUGCGUUUUCUAAGGAGGCAAGACAAUCUGCCGUGGAUCUGUGUCGGUGACUUCAAUGAAGCUAUGUUUUACACGGAGCAGAUGGGGGGAACAGGAGGAACUUGCUGCAAAUGGAAGAUUUCAAGGAGUGCCUUACGGAUUGUGGCCUGGCUGACCUUGGCUACUCUGGAUAUCCUUUCACCUAGAAUAACAAACGUGAAGGUGAUGACAAUAUUCAAGUGCGCCUGGACAGAGGCACCUGCAAUGAUGAUUUCCUUGCUUUGUUCCCGGCUUCUCAUAUUGACCAUAUCAUUACGGAGGAAUCGGAUCACGUGGCGCUGGUGGUUCAUGUACUGGAGACUGCUCCGGCGCAUGAGCCGCAGGGGGGCGGCCCUUUAG